rnacentral:rRNA from 1 species
CGUUCCCGGGCCUUGUACACACCGCCCGUCAAGCCAUGGAAAGCCGAGGGUGCCCUGAAGUUGGUGACCGCAAGGAGCUACCUAGGGCAAAAUCGGUGACUGGGGCU